UCGCAUGGCCUUGAGCCGGCGAUGCAUCAUUCAAAUAUCUGCCCUAUCAACUUUGGAUGGUAGGAUAGAGGCCUACCAUGGUUUUAACGGGUAACGGGGAAUAAGGGUUCGAUUCCGGAGAGGGAGCCUGAGAAACGGCUACCACAUCCAAGGAAGGCAGCAGGCGCGCAACUUACCCAAUCCCGACACGGGGAGGUAGUGACAAUAAAUAACAAUACAGGGCUCUUUUGGGUCUUGUAAUUGGAAUGAGUACAAUUUAAAUACCUUAACGAGGAACAAUUGGAGGGCAAGUCUGGUGCCAGCAGCCGCGGUAAUUCCAGCUCCAAUAGCGUAUAUUAAAGUUGUUGCUAUUAAAAAGCCCGUAGUUGGAUUUGAGGAGUAAAGUUUAGGUCCAUUGAAAGAUGAGUACUUUAACUUUAUUCCUUCCCUUGUAGUGAACUAUAUUGAAGAAAUUUGGUAUAGGGAACUAUGAAUUUUACCUUGAGAAAAUUAGAGUGUUCAAAGCAGGCCUACGCCGGAAUACAUUAGCAUGGAAUAAUAAAAUAGGACGAGUGAUUCUAUUUUGUUGGUUUAUAGAACCACCGUAAUGAUUAAUAGGAACAGUUGGGGCAUUAGUAUUCAGUUGCUAGAGGUGAAAUUCUUGGAUUUACUGAAGACUAACUACUGCGAAAGCAUUUGCCAAGGAUGUUUUCAUUAAUAAAGGACGAUGGUUGGGGGAUCGAAAAUGAUUAGAUACCGUUGUAGUCCCAACAGUAAACUAUGCCGACUGAGGAUUGGAUGACGUUAUAUUAUUGACUCAUUCAGCACUCUGCGAGAAAUCAAAGUUUUUGGGCUUAGGGGGGAGUAUGGUCGCAAGGCUGAAACUUAAAGGAAUUGACGGAA
rnacentral:rRNA from 1 species